CGAAAGCCUGACGGAGCAAUACCGCGUGAGGGAGGAAGGCUCUUGGGUUGUAAACCUCAAAACUUAGGGAAGAAGAAAGUGACGGUACUUUAAGAAUAAGCAUCGGCUAACUCCGUGCCAGCAGCCGCGGUAAUACGGAGGAUGCAAGCGUUAUCCGGAAUCAUUGGGCGUAAAGAGUCCGUAGGCGGCUAGUCAAGUCUGCUGUCGAAGACCGAAGCUUAACUUCGGAGAGGCGGUUGAAACUGAAAAGCUAGAGUACAGAAGGGGUAGAGGGAAUUCCCAGUGUAGCGGUGAAAUGCGUAGAUAUUGGGAAGAACACCAGUGGCGAAGGCGCUCAACUGGGCCGUAACUGACACUCAGGGACGAAAGCUAGGGUAGCG
rnacentral:rRNA from 1 species